rnacentral:snRNA from 1 species
GUGCUCGCUUCGGCAGCACAUAUACUAAAAUUGGAACGAUACAGAGAUUAGCAUGGCCCCUGCUCAAGGAUGACACGCAAAUUUGUGAAGCGUUCCAUAUGUUU